rnacentral:rRNA from 1 species
UGGGGAAUAUUGGACAAUGGGCGAAAGCCUGAUCCAGCCAUGCCGCGUGUGUGAAGAAGGUCUUCGGAUUGUAAAGCACUUUAAGUUGGGAGGAAGGGCAGUAAGCGAAUACCUUGCUGUUUUGACGUUACCGACAGAAUAAGCACCGGCUAACUCUGUGCCAGCAGCCGCGGUAAUACAGAGGGUGCAAGCGUUAAUCGGAAUUACUGGGCGUAAAGCGCGCGUAGGUGGUUCGUUAAGUUUAAUGUGAAAGCCCCGGGCUCAACCCGGGAACUGCAUCCAAAACAGGCUAGCUAGAGUAGGGCAGGAGGUGGUGGAAUUUCCUGUGUAGGGGUGAAAUGCGUAGAUAUAGGAAGGAACACCAGGGGCGAAGGCGACCACCUGGGCUCAUACUGACACUGAGGUGCGAAAACGUGGGGAGCAAACAGG